rnacentral:tRNA from 2 species
GCAGGUGUGGUUUAGUGGUAGAACAUGACCUUGCCAAGGUUAUAGCGGGGGUUCGAUUCCCCUCAUCUGCU